UAUUCUGCCCUACGGGGAAGGAUGAGAAGCUUCGACUAAGGUUCGACUCGAGCGUCAGCGAGAGAACGUUGCCGCAGGCAACGGCCCGAAGGGCGAGGCGCUUUAGCGCCGAGUAA
rnacentral:sRNA from 1 species